rnacentral:rRNA from 1 species
ACUCCUACGGGAGGCAGCAGUGAGGAAUAUUGGACAAUGGACGAAAGUCUGAUCCAGCCAUGCCGCGUGAAGGAUGACUGCCCUCUGGGUUGUAAACUUCUUUUAUAUGGGAAUAAACCCCGCCGUGUCCGGGGCUGAAUGUACCAUACGAAUAAGCACCGGCUAACUCCGUGCCAGCAGCCGCGGUAAUACGGAGGGUGCAAGCGCUAUCCGGAUUUAUUGGGUUUAAAGGGUCCGUAGGUGGGACUGUAAGUCAGUGGUGAAAUCUUUCGGCUUAACCGGAAAACUGCCAUUGAUACUGCAGUUCUUGAGUAUGCUCGAAGUAGGCGGAAUAUGUCAUGUAGCGGUGAAAUGCAUAGAUAUGACAUAGAACACCAAUAGCGAAGGCAGCUUACUAGAUCAUAACUGACACUGAGGGACGAAAGCGUGGGGAGCGAACAGGAUUAGAUACCCUGGUAGGCUCU